UGUGCAUCCAAAAUGUGGUGGGUGUGUUUGCAAUUAAGUGUAAUCCUAUAUGAAGUUCCUAAAGACAACUUCUUACAAUGAAUAGUAGACACCAUUUGCAACAGAUUACAAGAUGCAAAAAAAAUUUUUUUUAAACCUGAAUGCAUGAGCAUUCAAGUGUUUAGGAGAGAGCUACCUACAGCAAUUCCAGUGCCUUGUCCCCAGAAACAAUGUUACAGAAACAAUGGACUCACUGAGGUCAUUCUCAUGACCAGCCCUACCCAGAAGAAAGAAAAAAAUCAAAUGCAUGGUAAAAAGGAAUGAGAAGGCCACUGCUCGUCCCAAACGGACUUCUCACCCCAAAAGAAGCACAAGAUUGGGAAAACUUUUCAGAGAAAGCAAUUGGUAAUACAGCCAAGCACUAUAAGAUCAUACAGAGGUAUGGUCACACACCCCGCCGCUCCCUACAAAAGAAUGCAGCAAGUGGCAUGAGUUCAGAAGUCCUUGGUUCAAAUCUCACCUCAACCAUGAAUUCACUAGGUAGCCGUGGACAGGCCAAGAGAAUAGUGGCUUGCCUAGGAAUACCAUGAGGGUAGGAACUGAAUAGAAGAUUCCAGUUGACUUUUGGAACAAAGAACCAUCAUCAAAUUAAGAACAACCAUCUCUGUAUUAAACUGUAAAUAGGAAGAAGUAAUUGAUAGGGCAUUUAGUUCACUGAUCCUACACACUGAUAUAAUAGUAAUUAGGAAACUCAGCAACUUCAGCAGUAGAAAAGAACAAGGAAACCCAACCAAGAAGUUCAAAGAAAGGAUUUUAGAGGCUUUGAAGAAAAUACAUAGGUUCGAUGGACUUGAGAGGAUAUAUUCCAAAGAGCUGUGAAGUGAAACAGUGUUUGAAACCCCAUAAUGUUGUAAUUUGCUCUUGGAGUUUGAACAGAGCUUAUUUUGAUCAGAGGCUCAAUAGGGUUUAGUUCCUCCAUAACCAGCUUUCAGUACCAGAAUUGAGUCCUGGGAUACUGGAAUUUUAAGAUAGUGGCUUGGAACAUAUGCAGAGUGUCCUUACUACCCUGCAAUUCUGACCAGAUUCUACACAUUUUAGACUAAGAGCAAAGUAUUCCAUAUGAGAAGUUUCAUUAAAUUGCAGGCAAAAUUCAGACCAAUUAUGACAAGCCUUUUUUCUUGAUAUUUAUUUCUUAACUUAUAUUUCCUUUCCUUUGAAAAGAUAGAGUUAGCAAUUUUUCAACUGGCCAUUAUAUCGGUACCUUUAACAGCAGCUUGUUGUGUGGUGACAUUCGUAAGUGAUUAUAGCUUUUUCAGACAUGGCUGCCAGGAACACCAAGAUAUGAAGGGGACAAAUGAGAACGUGCCCAACUAGUCACACACAUGCCGUGCCAAUGAAUUCACUGGCCACACUCCAGGGCUUCUGCUGGUUCAGCACUUGCCUGCAGAGGUUUGCAUGAAUCCUCCUCUGUGAUCGGUGCUCCUAUGGAAGUCUAGGCAUAUCUAGCCAAAAUGCUCCCGGCUGCCCACUCAUGCCUCAUUUGUUUCAUUUGGGCUGGGCAACCCUAACAUUGAAAGAGAACUAAUUUCCCACUCCGUGAAAGCUUUGCCUGCUCACAUCUACAAACUAAACUGUUGCUAAAGGCAAGAUCUGAGUAGGGUCACUCACCCAGUCUCCUCUACAAGCAUUGCCCAGGCUAAGACCUGCUUAGCUCUAAUAAUGUAACAAGUUUUAAGAAAAGGGUAGUUUCCAUUUAGAGCAUUUUCAGUGGCAAAUGGCAAAUAUUACCUUAGCUCCAUAACGCUGGAUUAAAAAGGAGGCAGGCAAAUAAAUAGCUCUUAGCAUGCAUUACUGUAAAGUGGCAUGUGACUUUUUAAUGUUGCUAUGCAUACUACAAAUAAUUUCAAGAAAAGCUCAUAUAACCUUGAUUUACUAGACUCAUUUCAUAAGCCUUUUGUGACACCUAAGAUGCAGUUCUAUGUCACUUAUAGCAUUCUGGUCAGGAAUUAUGUAGCUUAUUUGACUACUAUGAAUCCUCUGUGAACCCAUAUACAAUGGCUCUUGAUGACUUACGUGAUCACCUGAUUCCUUUCAGUUUUAAGGGGGAGAAGUCCCAGGACAUAUUAAAGUUUUGUGCUGUGAUGUCUUUAUUGGGGUGGAACAUGCAUGGAUAUAGAACAGAAGUUAAAUUUAUGCUUGUCAGGUCUGCUGCAUCUUUCUGGAUAUGUGCCAAGUUCUGAACAUUUUAAGGAGGGGGAAAUUUAGGUUUCCCCUCAGCUUCAUCAUUUUGUAAGGAUGCUGCAUUUUUAUUCCUGACAGAUAUAGUGUGCCUUUAGCGUGUAUAGGGCAAAAAACCAAUAUGUAGCACAUGAGGGUGCCGUGAAGCUGAGUAAAAGCUGUUCCUGUUCAAUUCCUGCCUGAAAUUCAACUGGUAAAGGUAUAAUGCUUGUGUGCUCUUCCAGACAGUUACAUAUUUCAGUGUCAGUGCCAAUUAUAUGAUAAAGAAAAUGGGAUAUCCACACAACAUGAUACAAGGGUGUUGUGUAAUAUUGUUAGCACCACCUGCUGGCAGUAAAACUGUUUUUAAAAUUUAGAAUAAAACUGUGUUCUUUUCAAGUUAGAAUAAAAGGAGUAAAAAGGCACAGUUCAUUUGCGAACUGCUGUAGAUUGCCAGCAAGGCACUGAGAAUAGUUUGUGUUGUCCUGGUACAUAGUGUGGAUUACUCAUUUAUUGUUGCAAUUUUACACUUAAGCCGGAAUAUAUCACCAUCUGGAAGAGUCCUUUGGUGGUGGGGAGUAUUCCUCAGUCUUUAAUCUACAGUCAAGGUAAACCAAGAGA